UGCGGAAGGAUCAUUGUCGAAACCUGCCCAGCAGAACGACCAGCGAACACGUUUAACUCUAUCGGGUUUGGGGAGGUGUGGGCAGCCUUGUGCUCCUACUCCCCCCGUGCUCGAGCCAAGGUGGCGGCCCCCUGUGGGUUCCUACUCGGCAUUUCAACGAACCCCGGCGCGAAAAGCGUCAAGGAAUAUAACCAACAUAUGAGCUCCCUCCYACUGCCCGGUUAGCCGGCGCGUGGGUGCGGUGCCAUGUCAUAACAUUAAACGACUCUCGGCAACGGAUAUCUCGGCUCUCGCAUCGAUGAAGAACGUAGCGAAAUGCGAUACUUGGUGUGAAUUGCAGAAUCCCGUGAACCAUCGAGUCUUUGAACGCAAGUUGCGCCCGAGGCCUUUGGCUGAGGGCACGUCUGCCUGGGCGUCACGCAUCGCAACCCCCCAUACUCACUCUCUGUGGUAGGGGGAGGAAGAUGGCUUCCCGUGUCUCACCGGGUGCGGUUGGCCUAAAUUUGGAGCCUAAGGCAUCGUGUUGCCGCGGCGAUAGGUGGUGAACAAGGCCUUGGCCGAGCAAACAACCGGUCGUGCAACCCUUUGACGAUAUGAGCUCGUAGGACCCUUUGAUGUUGCCUCGUUGCAACACAAACGUUGCGACCCCA
rnacentral:rRNA from 1 species